GGGUGCUUGCACCUGGUGGCGAGUGGCGAACGGGUGAGUAAUACAUCGGAACAUGUCCUGUAGUGGGGGAUAGCCCGGCGAAAGCCGGAUUAAUACCGCAUACGAUCUACGGAUGAAAGCGGGGGACCUUCGGGCCUCGCGCUAUAGGGUUGGCCGAUGGCUGAUUAGCUAGUUGGUGGGGUAAAGGCCUACCAAGGCGACGAUCAGUAGCUGGUCUGAGAGGACGACCAGCCACACUGGGACUGAGACACGGCCCAGACUCCUACGGGAGGCAGCAGUGGGGAAUUUUGGACAAUGGGCGAAAGCCUGAUCCAGCAAUGCCGCGUGUGUGAAGAAGGCCUUCGGGUUGUAAAGCACUUUUGCCCGGAAAGAAAUCCUUGGUUCUAAUAUAGCCGGGGGAUGACGGUACCGGAAGAAUAAGCACCGGCUAACUACGUGCCAGCAGCCGCGGUAAUACGUAGGGUGCGAGCGUUAAUCGGAAUUACUGGGCGUAAAGCGUGCGCAGGCGGUUUGCUAAGACCGAUGUGAAAUCCCCGGGCUCAACCUGGGAACUGCAUUGGUGACUGGCAGGCUAGAGUAUGGCAGAGGGGGGUAGAAUUCCACGUGUAGCAGUGAAACGCGUAGAGAUGCGGAGGAAUACCGAUGGCGAAGGCAGCCCCNUGGGCCAAUACUGACGCUCAUGCACGAAAGCGUGGGGAGCAAACAGG
rnacentral:rRNA from 1 species